rnacentral:rRNA from 1 species
UUGGUGAGGUAAUGGCUCACCAAGACGACGACGGGUAGCCGGCCUGAGAGGGCGACCGGCCACACUGGGACUGAGACACGGCCCAGACUCCUACGGGAGGCAGCAGUGGGGAAUAUUGCACAAUGGGGGAAACCCUGAUGCAGCGACGCAGCGUGCGGGAUGACGGCCUUCGGGUUGUAAACCGCUUUCAGCAGGGAAGAAGCCCCUUGGGGUGACGGUACCUGCAGAAGAAGUACCGGCUAACUACGUGCCAGCAGCCGCGGUAAUACGUAGGGUACAAGCGUUGUCCGGAAUUAUUGGGCGUAAAGAGCUCGUAGGUGGUUGGUCACGUCUGCUGUGGAAACGCAACGCUUAACGUUGCGCGUGCAGUGGGUACGGGCUGACUAGAGUGCAGUAGGGGAGUCUGGAAUUCCUGGUGUAGCGGUGAAAUGCGCAGAUAUCAGGAGGAACACCGGUGGCGAAGGCGGGUACUCUGGGCUGUAACUGACACUGAGGAGCGAAAGCAUGGGGAGCGAACAGGAUUAGAUACCCUGGUAGUCCAUGCCGUAAACGUUGGGCACUAGGUGUGGGGGACAUUCCACGUUCUCCGCGCCGUAGCUAACGCAUUAAGUGCCCCGCCUGGGGAGUACGGUCGCAAGGCUAAAACUCAAAGGAAUUGACGGGGGCCCGCACAAGCGGCGGAGCAUGCGGAUUAAUUCGAUGCAACGCGAAGAACCUUACCAAGGCUUGACAUACACCAGACCGUCCUGGAAACAGGUCCUCCUCUUUGAGGUUGGUGUACAGGUGGUGCAUGGUUGUCGUCAGCUCGUGUCGUGAGAUGUUGGGUUAAGUCCCGCAACGAGCGCAACCCUCGUUCUAUGUUGCCAGCACGUGAUGGUGGGAACUCAUAGGAGACUGCCGGGGUCAACUCGGAGGAAGGUGGGGAUGACGUCAAAUCAUCAUGCCCUUUAUGUCUUGGGCUUCACGCAUGCUACAAUGGCUGGUACAGAGAGAUGCGAGACCGCGAGGGUUUUAGCGAAUCCCUUAAAGCCAGUCUCAGUUCGGAUCGUAGUCUGCAAUUCGACUACGUGAAGUCUGGAGUCGCUAGUAAUCGCAGAUCAGCAACGCUGCGGGUGAAUACGUUUCCCGGGCCUUGCACACACCGCCCCGU